UUGGAGGGCAAGUCUGGUGCCAGCAGCCGCGGUAAUUCCAGCUCCAAUAGCGUAUAUUAAAGUUGUUGCAGUUAAAAAGCUCGUAGUUGAACUUCGGGGUCUACCCAUUGGUCAGGCUUAAUUGUCUGCACUGGUGAGAUGGAUCUCUACCUUCUGAGGAACUUUCAUGCCAUUUAUUUGGUGUGAUGGGAAAUCAGGACUGUUACUUUGAAAAGAUUAGAGUGUUUAAAGCAGACUAUCGUCUGAAUACAUUAGCAUGGAAUAAUGAAAUAGGACGGACUGAUUCUAUUUCGUUGGUUUCUAGGAUCACCGUAAUGAUUAAUAGGGAUAGUUGGGGGCAUUAGUAUUCAAUUGUCAGAGGUGAAAUUCUUGGAUUUAUUGAAGACUAACUACUGCGAAAGCAUUUGCCAAGGAUGUUUUCAUUAAUCAAGAACGAAAGUUAGGGGAUCGAAGACGAUCAGAUACCGUCGUAGUCUUAACCAUAAACUAUGCCGACUAGGGAUCGGACGAAGUUAAUUUUAUAAUGACGCGUUCGGCACCUUACGGGAAACCAAAGUGUUUGGGUUC
rnacentral:rRNA from 1 species